rnacentral:rRNA from 1 species
CUCGUGUCGUGAGAUGUUCGGUUAAGUCCGGCAACGAGCGCAACCCACGUCCUUAGUUGCCAUCAUUUGGUUGGGCACUCUAAGGAAACUGCCCGUGAUAAGCGGGAGGAAGGUGUGGAUGACGUCAAGUCCUCAUGGCCCUUACGGGUUGGGCUACACACGUGCUACAAUGGUAGUGACAAUGGGUUAAUCCCCAAAAGCUAUCUCAGUUCGGAUUGUCGUCUGCAACUCGACGGCAUGAAGUCGGAAUCGCUAGUAAUCGCGUAACAGCAUGACGCGGUGAAUACGUUCCCGGGCCUU